UACGAAGGGGGCUAGCGUUGUUCGGAAUUACUGGGCGUAAAGGGCGCGUAGGCUGUGCUGUAAGUCAGGCGUGAAAGCCCCGGGCUCAACCUGGGAAUUGCGCUUGAUACUGCGGCGCUGGAAGGUGGGAGAGGAUGGCGGAAUUCCCAGUGUAGAGGUGAAAUUCGUAGAUAUUGGGAAGAACACCGGUGGCGAAGGCGCAUCUGGCCCAUUUUUGACGCUGAGGCGC
rnacentral:rRNA from 1 species